rnacentral:rRNA from 1 species
UACGUAGGGUGCGAGCGUUGUCCGGAAUCAUUGGGUUUAAAGGGUCCGUAGGCGGUUUUGUAAGUCAGUGGUGAAAGCCCAUCGCUCAACGGUGGAACGGCCAUUGAUACUGCAAGACUUGAAUUACUAGGAAGUAACUAGAAUAUGUAGUGUAGCGGUGAAAUGCUUAGAUAUUACAUGGAAUACCAAUUGCGAAGGCAGGUUACUACUAGUGGAUUGACGCUGAUGGACGAAAGCGUGGGGAGCGAACAGG